rnacentral:lncRNA from 1 species
AUAAUUGUCGGGACGGGAUGGGAUGGCGAGACGGCCCGUUCCAUGGAGAAACCAAGACACCUUUGUCCCAAGGGAUUUAAAACCUUGCCUACACGUUUAUUUGGUGCUUAAAGAUAUCAUCGUUGUGGUUGUAGAGAUUAUAAGUAAUAGUUAAGACUAAAAUAUGUGUCUCACCUGAGACAACCCAACUACUAUAGGACAGCUUCAUGUGCAUUUUGGUUCUGGAGAAAGGCUACGAGUCAAAAUCUUGAUCAAAAGACAUAUAAGCAUUUUCAGGUCUACAUGACGUCUUUUGAGUAUUUGAAUUUAGGUGAUACAUAUCAUUUUAUUAAAAGCAUUAAUUAUGUGAAAUUUGGACAACAGGAAAUUGAACGCACCCAAAGUAACAGAGGAACAUGCCAAAUGUUUGGAACAUCAUGGAUUUUAAGAAUAUUAGCAACCUAUUGAGUACAAGUAGAAUUCCAAUGAUGAGACCACUGAAGAUUAAAGAGUCACAAAGCACUUGUAAGCACAAAAGCUCACGGGGACAUAACAAUAUUGUGAAAGUUUCUCUUUCAUGCUUUCCUGUAAAGGCUGAAAAUUUAUAGAAAAGUAGAUUCUUCUGGGGCUAAAACUUAAAAUAAAAUUCAAGAAAAAGAAAAAGAUCAAGCACGGAGAGAAAGAAGUGGCAACUUAAAGAAAUUUCUAGAUUCAUGGUGUCUCAGGACCUAUAAGAUUAAAAGCUAAGAAAUACUAAAGAUGGCAUCAUUGACUGCAAAAGAUAUGUGGCAAUUAAGUUUGAGACAAAAAAACAAAAAGGAAGAAUUUCAGGGAGGCAAGUUAACAGGAUCUAGAGAUCAAUAUUCGAUAAAUAAGCAGAUGAUAAGUCCAAAAAUGCUAAAAGUAGAGUCAGCUAUCAGGCAAUCCCAAAUGGAAGAAUCUAUAUCUAUAUGGAAAAAACUUAUGCACAAAAUGGAGGUCAUAAAUAAAUUGCUCAACCAUGACCAACAUAAGAAAAC